AGUCCUAGUAUUGCUGUCCUCUGUGAGGACUGUCAUGCAAACAGAAACACUCAAAAACACAACUCACCCUUGAAUUAAAGAUUUAUUUGGGUUAAAAAGUACCUUUUAAAAAACGCAGGCCCCUCUGGGCAGGGUUCAUGCAUGCUGUAUUCCUAACGCUUAGUUAGCUAAGAAUAGCACUGAGAAUCGGGUGAGAUUGAGAGAAGAGUCAGCUGUUGGACUUUAUGUGAGAUUUGCACAUUUCAGCAGGAAGAGUAGAGAGCGUGGUGCCAGGAACAGGAUAGGAGAGCAGGUUGUCUGGAAAGGGUCGGGGCACAUCAGCAUUGUAUUUCUUUGUCCGUGCCCCAGCUUUAUAGAGGUAUACGUAUGACAAAUACAAACUAUAUAUAUUUGUGUUUGUAAGGUGCACCAUGUGAUAUUUUGAUGUAUAUUGUAUAUAUUGUGAAAUGUUUACCGCAGUGAAGCUGAUUAACAUGGCCAUCACUGAAGUCCUUCUCAGAUAGGACUCGACCUCAGCCACCCCUCAGAUUGGGACUUGAACCCAAGAUCCCUGACUAAGGAGGGAACUCAAACCCCUGUCUUUUAAGUGAAACCACUCACCUGGUGGCUGGACUUACUGAAAACCACAGGUUCCCCCCCCCCCCCGCCCCCCGAGAUCAAAGAGGGCUACAUUUUUACAAUCAAAGGAACAAUGGCGAGUGAGCAUUCUUGGGUAGAUAUUAAGACUUACCUCAUCAGUUCCUUCUUUAACCCUAUAUGGCCUAACCAGGACCAUCAUAGCUAUUAAAUCGCAUGUACGCCAAGUGUGGUACACUAAAAUAAGGUAAUUCACCUCAAGUUUCUCUGUAAGGUCCCCUACCAUGGAGUUUCUUUCCCCUUUCCCCUGUAUUCCUAUCUUGGCUACAUGCAGAAAUGCUGCUCUUCGAGGACCGCUAACUCCCUGACUUUGCAUAAGAAGAUGCAGACCCCACAUCUAUUGUCUUGUGCUUUAACUAUCGGGAUGUGUCGGCUUGGGUGUGCCUGGCACUCGAAUGCAUCUGAUCCUCCUUUAAGGUAGUGCAGAUUGUUGCUAGGUUACUGGAUUCUUUUCUUGAGUGGUCAUUAGCUUACAAAGGUCUCCCAAAUUCUUAAAAUUCCCUUUCUAUCUUUAAUCCCCUAUUGGGAUUUCUCAACUAUUUAAUUAUCCUGCUCUAUCCCUAUCAACCUCACAUGGUUACCAUUGUGUGUGUCUGAUGAGAACAUUUGAGACCCACUGUCUUAGCAGAUUUCAGGGAUAUAAUACAUUAUUGUUAAUGACAGUCUCACCAGGCUGUAUGUUAGGUCUUCACAUCCUGUAACUGAGUUUGGGCCCUUUGACCAACAUCUCCCCAUUUCCCUCAACCACCACCCUACUCUCUGUUUCUGUGAAUUUAACUUUUUGGGGUUUUUUUGGCCAUCCCCAUGGUAUGCAAAAGUUCCCCAGGCCGGGGAUCAAACCUGAGUCACAGCAGUGACAAUGAUGAAUCCUUAACCAGUAAGCUGCCAGGGAAUUCUGAAUUUAAUUUUUCUAGAUUCCAUAUCAAGUAGAUCGUUAGCAGUAUUUGCCUUUCUGUGUCUGACUGAUUUCAUGGAACAUAUAGUCCUCUGGGUAGGGCGAGUUCGUGUUGAUGAGGGGCAGGGAUGCAGGAUGCAGGAUAGUGGAUGGGAGGUUGCACUUACAGAAUGGGACUGACCUGGAGAGAGCUUUAGUUCAGUGCUUUGAUCCUAGCCAGACAGACAUGACUUUGACCAGAUGAUCUCUGAACUGGCAAUUUGAUCCCCUGAAGGGGCCAUGUGACAGGAUGUGACGGCGCCUGUGUGUGUAGGUGGUUUCCUGAUGGCAUGUUACAAGAAAGCACCACGGGUGGUGUUUUGACUGCCCGGAGGGCUCGAGUGCUGUGAAUGUACCCAGGCAGUCCCUGGGCUUAUCACUUAACUGACUCUUAUCUCUGAGGUGAGCUGUGCCAGGGGGUCUGGCUUCUAACAGGACCCAGGGAUGGGUAUUUAAGGGAACCAAAAAUCUGUCAGUUUUGUAUUUACUUCUUUCAUUUAAGAUAGUGAUAAAUUUUUUGUUUUGGAACACUCCAUCCAUAGAUAAUAGCAUGCACUUUUAUGUUUUGCUUUAUCCUUUCAUUGAAGAUAUUUUUCUACACUCUUUUCAUAGAGAUGCAUAACAAUUCAAUUAAGAACAAUUUUUUGGCCAUACCUGGGGCAUGCGGAAGUUCCCAGGACAGGGAUUAAACCCACACCGUGACAGCAGCCUGAGUAACAGUAGUGACAACACUGGACCUUAACCUGCUGAGCCAUCAUGGAACUCCUAUAAUUCAAAAUUUUUUUCUUUUUUUGGCUGCUCCUGCAGCAUAUGGAAGUUCCUAGGCCAGGGAUCAAACCUGUGCAGUUGUGGCAUGUGCCGCAGAUGUGGCAGCACUGGAUCCUUAACCUGCUGCUCCACAAGAGAACUGCCUAAUUCAGUUUGUUUUUCUUUUUUAUGACCACACUUGCUGCAUAUGGAAGUUCCCAGACUAGGGGUCAAAUCAGAGCUGCAGCUGCUGGCCUACACCACAGCAACACCAGAUCCAAGCUGCAUCUGCAGCCUGUGCCACAGCUUGCAGCAACAUCAGAUCCUUACGCCAUUGAGCUAGGCUGGAGAUCGAACCCAAUCCUCACAGAUAGUAUGUCAGGUUCUUAACCGUCUGAGCCACAGUGGGAACUCACUGAUUCAGUUUUUUUUUUUUUUAACAUAGUUUUCCCAAGUAAACUUAGAUUUUGUGUAAACCAUUCUUAUUUAAGUAGAUGUAUUCAUUUUGGUUUAUCAAAACUCCGUUCAUAGAGAUACAAAACAUCAUUCAGUGUUGCUUAUGGCAGUUUGUUUCAGCAGAUGCUUAUUUCUGAUCUGCCAGCAAUGCAUUCAUAGGGGAAAAAUGUUUCAUUAAGUUUUGUCUCUGAAUUUUUCCUUUUAAUAGGUGCAAUUGCUUGUAUUCUAGUAACACUCCAGAUACAGGCAUUUGUGUUCAUAAACACUUCAUUCAUAGGGAUAAAAACACAUCACUUCGUCUCAUUAGAUCCACUUGUUGUUAUAUCAAUGUUAAGUGCACAGAGAUAAGUAACCUAUCAUUCAGUCUUUUAAGACCACUUUGCUUUGAGUAGAUGUAUUCCUCUCCAUUCUAUUUCAGAGAUUUUAUCCCAUGUUUUAUUCCAGAGAUUCAUAUGAUGUAUUGUGGGAGUUCCUGCGUGGCGCAGAGGAAACAAACCUGACUAGUAUCCAUGAAGACUUGGGGUGGAGGAUCCUUGGCCUCGCUCAGUGGGUUAAGGAUCUGGCAUUGCCGUGAGCUAUGGUGUAAGUUGAGCAUUCAGUUCAAAUCCCGAGUUGCUGUGGCUGUGGUGUAGGCCGGCAGCUAUAGCUCCAGUUAGACCCCCAGCCUGUGAACCUCCAUAUGCCAUGGGUGUGGCCGUAAAAAAGCAAAAAAAAAAACCCCAAAAAUAUAGUGCGUAUUGUGUUUAGGUGUUUCCUUUCAGUAGACAUCUUUUUAAAAAUUUAUUUUAUUGAAGUAUAUCAGACACAACCUAGAAUAGAUAUACAAGGAGAUCCUGCUGAAUAGCAUUGAGAACUAUGUCUAGAUACUCAUGUCGCAACAGAAGAAAGGGUGGGGGAAAAAACUGUAACUGCAAUGUAUACAUCUAAGGAUGACCUGACCCCCUUGCUGUACAGUGGGAAAAU
rnacentral:lncRNA from 1 species